rnacentral:rRNA from 1 species
UACGGGGGGGCAAGCGUUGUUCGGAAUUACUGGGCGUAAAGGGCUCGUAGGCGGCCAACUAAGUCAGACGUGAAAUCCCUCGGCUUAACCGGGAACUGCGUCUGAUACUGGAUGGCUUGAGUUUGGGAGAGGGAUGCGGAAUUCCAGGUGUAGCGGUGAAAUGCGUAGAUAUCUGGAGGAACACCGGUGGCGAAGGCGGCAUCCUGGACCAACACUGACGCUGAGGAGCGAAAGCCAGGGGAGCAAAGCGGG